rnacentral:rRNA from 1 species
UACGGGGGGGGCAAGCGUUGUUCGGAAUUACUGGGCGUAAAGGGCUCGUAGGCGGCCAACUAAGUCGGAUGUGAAAUCCCCAGGCUUAACCUGGGAACUGCAUCCGAUACUGGAUGGCUUGAGUCCGGAAGAGGAGAGUGGAAUUCCUGGUGUAGCGGUGAAAUGCGCAGAUAUCAGGAAGAACACCCGUGGCUAAGGCGGCUCUCUAGUACGGUACUGACGCUGAGACACGAAAGCGUGGGGAGCGAACAGG